GGUGGUAUAGCUCAGUGGUAGAGCACAAGCUUAGUGUGCACAAGGUCCUGGGUUCAAUCCCCAGUACCUCCA
rnacentral:tRNA from 1 species